ACCGUCACUCCGCCGCCCACCGCCACUCUGCCACCCACCGCCGAUCAGCGCCACACCGCCGCCCACCGUCGCCCACCGCCGUUCUACCUUUCACUUGCAUCGCCGUUCCUCCGAGUGCUAGAAUCUCCAGAAAAGUUUUUUGUUUAGGUUCUGGUUUUAUCUGUUUUAGUUUAGAUUCCACCUUUUAUUUUUUAUUUUAGGAUCUGGUUUAUUUGUUUGUGCGUUGUUUUCAAAGUGAAAUUUGGGGGGGGGGGGGUUGUGUUUGCUGGGAAUUUGAAUUAUGCUGACUUUUGACUAAUUUGGGAAUCAAAUGAUGUGGGGGCUAAAAUGGGUGCACGGUGCACCUAAUGAUUCUUUGCAAACAAUAUGUUUUGCUUUGCUUUGAUUUGAUUAGUAUAUGUAUUUUCUUUGUACUAUGAUCUGUUUUUUUUUUAUGUUCUCUCAAAAAUUGAAGAUUAAUUUUCUAGUUCCAAUUUCUCAAUUAUUCCUAAUUAGAGUUGUGCCAGCAAAGUUUUCGUGGGUUUAAGAGCUCAAUCUCCAAUUAUUUGUUCUCAUCUUCACUCCUUUAUUAUUCAAAUUACUGUAAAUUUGUCCUUUUCUUUUCUUCUUUAUGAAAAUGCGCAGAAUUUUGUCUGGCAACUUUACUAUAUGUAUUUUCUUUGUACUACCUGUUUGUGAAUUAUGAGUUUGAUUUUGCUUGUACUCAGUGCCACAAUUGCUUUUUCAAAAUUUUCCUUUUUUUUUUUUUUUAUGUUCGGUAAUGUUAAAAUUAGGCUUGCUUAUGGCGGAUUUUUGCAAUUUAUGUUCUUUUUUUCUAACUCGUAUUUUUUUCCUAGAGGAUUGUUGUUUUUGCUACUUCUAAUACAGU
rnacentral:lncRNA from 1 species